rnacentral:lncRNA from 1 species
CUUUGUUGUAUUUAAUGUUAAUAACAAUCAGAAUUCUGUUUGACUAGGAAGGUAUGUAUGGGAUGAUCUACCUGCUAGAGCAUCUUAAAUCCAUUGGUUGGUGGAGGCUCAGUGCAGAAACAAAUAUUAUGCCAUACUGAUUACUGAUAUUAGUCCUGAGUGAAACAGACAUCUGUCAGAUGGCCUUGGCUCCAAAUGCUUCCUGAGCAUUUCAGAAGGCGAGAGGAAUUGUUCCAAAUCUUCGUGCACACUGACGUCCUUCACUCUUAUGGAAAAACAGAUGGAGGUACCAGCUCCACCAUGUACUGAAGAGCGAGCCUGUUCCCUUAGUGCAGUAUGUACAAGUCUGAUCAGAUGCCCUUCUUCCAGAGGCUGAGACAGAAAAUGAGACAGAAGCAGAAAUUUCCCAUUGACCGGAGGUCCCUUAGUGAAUCAGUACAGAGAACAACCUUUUUAAAUAAGAAGCCUGUGCAGCACCCUUUGUCCUAUGAAUGGCUUAAACAACCUCUGCCAAGUCAUCUUAUAUCAAGGAGUUCUGUUUUGCUCAUCUUCCACGUAUCGAGGCCACCUGAUACGAGACUUCUGGCUUGGGAACGGUAAGUAACAUUGUUUGUGCUUGGAUUUCAGUGACAGGGUCUCUUCUGAGAA